rnacentral:rRNA from 1 species
AUUGAACGCUGGCGGCAUGCUUUACACAUGCAAGUCGAACGGCAGCGCGGGCUUCGGCCUGACGGCGAGUGGCGAACGGGUGAGUAAUACAUCGGAACGUGCCCAGUAGUGGGGGAUAGCUCGGCGAAAGCCGGAUUAAUACCGCAUACGACCUGAGGGUGAAAGCGGGGGAUCUUCGGACCUCGCGCUAUUGGAGCGGCCGAUGGCAGAUUAGCUAGUUGGUGGGGUAAAGGCCUACCAAGGCGACGAUCUGUAGCUGGUCUGAGAGGACGACCAGCCACACUGGGACUGAGACACGGCCCAGACUCCUACGGGAGGCAGCAGUGGGGAAUUUUGGACAAUGGGCGAAAGCCUGAUCCAGCAAUGCCGCGUGUGUGAUGAAGGCCUUCGGGUUGUAAAGCACUUUUGGCGGGAACGAAAAGGACUGUGCCAAUACCACGGUUCGAUGACGGUACCCGCAGAAUAAGCACCGGCUAACUACGUG